GGUACUCUGGCCGAGUGGUCUAAGGCGUCAGGUCGAGGUCCUGAUCUCUUCGGAGGCGCGGGUAUCAAACCCCGCGGGUAUAU
rnacentral:tRNA from 1 species